GGGGUUGUAGCUUAGUGGUAGAGUGCUUGCCUUGCAUGUGUGAGGCACUGGGUUCGAUCCUCAGCACCA
rnacentral:tRNA from 1 species